rnacentral:lncRNA from 1 species
UAUUUUAAUUAUUUUUAAAUUUAAAAAUAAUUUUUAAAUAUAAAUAUUUAAAAAAGUUAAUUUCAGCUGAGAUCCAUGUAAAAUCCAACAAUGGAUGCUACAUAUAUUUUUCUAGGCCCAUGGGCAUGCAUCAAAGGCUACUUAUUUUUAAUUUUUUUCAAAUUUAGGCCUAGGCCACUGUGCGCAUAAUCCAUCAAAACUUGAAUAAAUGGACAUAAAAUUUGUUGAAGAGUAGCUUGCAUGCCCCUAAAUAUAUUUAUGAUUUUACUUUUUUUUGAAUUUUACUUUUUUUAUUUCUUUAUUUUUUAAUCCAAAAAUAUAUUUUUAAUUGUUAAAAAUUAUACAUAAUCCAAAAAUUAAAAAUUUUAUGUUAUCGUGUAGAUCAUCCAUAGAUCCACAACAUAUAAUAAAAUCAAUACCAAAUCAAAAAUUUUGGCAUGAUCUCUCUUUAUUUUGCAAAUUUUGAGCUAUUUUUUCAAGAAAAAAAUAGAGAAAAUGAGAUAGAAAAGACGAAGCACACCUUAUUUAGACUUAAAUCUUCCUUCAAUCGCGUUGAAUCAGUAUGAUUUCGCAAAUUGGAGAGAAGAGGAAGUCGUUUAGCCAUCUCAAGGCUAAACACACUUCAUAAAAAAAACUGUUGGGAAUCCCAACAAUUCAUUUUAAAAAAAGAAACGGAGGGGGAGAGAGCCCAAUUCCAAACUGGGUCGACUUGGUGUGAACCAGACAGUUUGCACUGAGUUCGAACAGAACCGGCCGAUUCGGUCUGGUUCGGGCAUUUUUCGGUUGAUUCUGAUCGGUUCGGAGCCAGAACCAAUUCCAAUAGGCAAACCGACUUGGUUUCCCACCAGAUCGGCGCAGUACAGGCCCGGUUCGGUCUACCUAGUAUGUAGCUACUUGAUCAGAUCUAUAAGCACUUAAGAUUGCACAAAGACCUGCAAUAUGUAUGGGUAGAGAGGAAUACAUAUGUGCAUUUUUUGGAGUCAGUUACUCCCAUGAUGCGGACUAAAAGUCCAGUUUGAAUCCCAAGUGCACAUGUGGCAGGCAUAAAAGGAAAUCUACAUAAUAAGCUCAUGCAAUUUCAAUAAAUCAAUUUGAUAUGAGUACAAGCAUGCCGGCUUCAUAAAACUGUCUGCGAAAAAUUAUAUA